rnacentral:lncRNA from 1 species
AUGGCCCCACGCUUCUCAGAAACACCAGCAGCAGUGGGGCCCUGCAAACCAGCCACGCCUGGGGCUCUGCUGCUGCAUGACGCCAGCCCCAAAGCAGCCGCCUCCACGGGGAUCAAAGCUGCAGCCACUGGAAGGAAGGACCCUGGGCAAAGACCACGCGUUUGGUCACUUCAUGCAGCUCCCAAGUCCAGCACCUGCAAAUGUGGGUGCAGCAGACACUGCCUCUCCUUCAUCCUCUUUCUGGGCUGGAAAAGCAACAGAAUAUUGAGAAACAGUCAAUUCUCAGGCACUGCCCCUUCUCGAGUGUUUCACCUCCUGGGUUACCAGUACCCACUGCAAAUAGGUACAAAAUCAGAGCUCCACCUGCCCAGAGAUGUUAUUGACCAUCCUGCAGUUCCUGCAGCCACUCUGAGCACUUUGAGAAGCGCUGAAAGAAAUCUGCAAGCCCCCUGGGGAACCCUGCACAGAUGGGGAAAGCAGCUUGGCCACAGCCCUAUGGUCAGCAGCAAGCCCCAGGACAGAUGUGUCCUUCCCCAGCUGGGUCACGGGCUGCUCCCAACCUGCUCAUCCUGGGGUCUCUGCACCAGGGCAGCUUCCCCAGCUGCAGGAGCUCCCAGCACACAGGUCCCCAGCUCGUCCUUGGGGCUGAAGGCAGAGCAGGCAAACCCGUGGCACAUCGCCACCGAUUGGGGCUGUGCUGGAAAUCCCCUGCCAGCCCCAUGCGGAGAGCAGCUCCCUGCCUCUGCCAGGGGCAGGAGCAAAACCAGCUGGCAGCAGCCCCGCUCGCACAGCGCUCCCUCCCCAGGAGCCCUCGCAGCGCCUUCGCCGGCUGAGCAGGAGCUGGGAAACCUUUCCCCAGGGCCCCUGCGCCAUGCAAAUCCUCCUGACCUAUUGCUCAACCAGAUGCUGAAUUUACUCCAAAGCACUUGUGCAAUGUGGGCCUUCAGGGGAGCGGGGGAGGCAGCCGGGGGGAAGCACGGGGCUGCUCCACGGGGCUGCUUCUCGCUCCUUGUUGGCCGCUGCUGCAGCCAGGGGCUGAGCUCUGCCCCCUGCUCCAGGCGGUUUGCUCCAGGAGCAGCUGGGAUGGAGAAAGGAGAGAGAAAGUGCUCCUGCUGCCCUGAUGCAACUCCCCAAGGGGAAUAUUUUCACUUGCAAACCCUGGCCUUAAGGAGCGCAGGGAUGUUCAGGGCUCAGACCCCAAGGCGCAGUGAAAAAUGCGCAGCCGGAGGGGUGAGCGCUGGCAGGUACCUGCACAGGCAGCACCCCCAGCACCCAGCAGCCUCCCAGCCUUGCUUCCCUUCCCUCUCGCAGCACCCAGACCCUCCCCAGCUGGUUGCUGCAGGGCUGGGGGUUGCUUGCUGCAUUGCUUUCCCCUCCUGCCCUGGUGCUCUAAAUGCUUCCGUGCGACACCGCCUGCCCCGGAUGGGCAGCAUCAUCACACACGAGGGUGCAGCCCCUUUCCCACGGCCCAGGCUGGAGUCUUGGGUCAGAUUCCUUGCUUCUGAAGACGCCUUCAAAUGUUAA